GAUGAACGCUGGCGGCGUGCCUAACACAUGCAAGUCGAGCGAACAGACGAGGAGCUUGCUCCUAUGACGUUAGAAGCGGACGGGUGAGUAACACGUGGAUAACCUAACUAUAAGACUGGGAUACCUUCAGGAAACCGGAGCUACUACCCGAAAAUAUAUUGAACCUCAUGGGUCACUAGUGGAAGAAGGUUUUUCUGUGACUUAUAGAUUGAUACGCGCCGCAUUAGCUAGUUGGUAAGGUAACGGAUUACCAAGGCUACGAUGCGUAGCCGACCUCAGAGCGUGAACCGCCAGCCUGUAACUGAGACACGGUCCCGACUCCUACAGUAGGCAGCAGUCGGGACUCUUCCGCAAGGGGGGAGAGGCUGACGGUGCACCGCCGCGUAAAGGAUGAUGGUCUUCGGCCCGGAGAACUCUGUUAGUAGUGAAGAACAAAUGUGUAAUUAACUAUGCACGUAUUGACGGUACCUAAUCAGAAAGCCACGGCUAACUCCGUG
rnacentral:rRNA from 1 species